AAGUCGUAACAAGGUUUCCGUAGGUGAACCUGCGGAAGGAUCAUUCACAAUAUUCACAAUAUUUCAAUUUUUUUUUCUUUUUUCGUUGUUUUGUAUAUAUCGAAAUGAUAUGACAAAACAAUGGAGGGAAAACAUAAUUUUUUCGUUGUUUUGUUUUUAUGACAAACAAUGAUGGGUAAAGCGUAAGCUAGCCAAUUUAUGUGUACUGUAUUCAGGCUGAUUUUUGUUUUGAAAAAAACAACCCGCCUGAUUUAAUUUCUUAUAUUAAUCUAUAACGAAAUUUUAUUUUGAAACAAAUUAAUAUUUUGAUGUAAUUAAAAUUUAAAUAACAACUUUCAACAAUGGAUCUCUUGGCUCUC
rnacentral:misc_RNA from 1 species